rnacentral:rRNA from 1 species
GACGUAGGGUGCGAGCGUUGUCCGGAUUUAUUGGGCGUAAAGAGCUCGUAGGCGGCUCGUCGCGUCGACCGUGAAAACCCGCGGCUUAACUGCGGGCUUGCGGUUGAUACGGGCGGGCUAGAGUUCGGGUAGGGGAGACUGGAAUUCCUGGUGUAGCGGUGAAAUGCGUAGAUAUCUGGAGGAACACCGGUGGCGAAGGCGGCAUCCUGGACCGAGAUUGACGCUGAGGCGCGAAAGCCAGGGGAGCAAAGCGGG